GUUUACGCUCUACAACCCUUUGUGAACAUACCUACAACUGUUGCUUCGGCGGGUAGGGUCUCCGCGACCCUCCCGGCCUCCCGCCUCCGGGCGGGUCGGCGCCCGCCGGAGGAUAACCAAACUCUGAUUUAACGACGUUUCUUCUGAGUGGUACAAGCAAAUAAUCAAAACUUUUAACAACGGAUCUCUUGGUUCUGGCAUCGAUGAAGAACGCAGCGAAAUGCGAUAAGUAAUGUGAAUUGCAGAAUUCAGUGAAUCAUCGAAUCUUUGAACGCACAUUGCGCCCGCCAGCAUUCUGGCGGGCAUGCCUGUUCGAGCGUCAUUUCAACCCUCAAGCUCUGCUUGGUGUUGGGGCCCUACAGCCGAUGUAGGCCCUCAAAGGUAGUGGCGGACCCUCCCGGAGCCUCCUUUGCGUAGUAACUUUACGUCUCGCACUGGGAUCCGGAGGGACUCUUGCCGUAAAACCCCCCAAUUUUCCAAAGGUUGACCUCGGAUCAGGUAGGAAUACCCGCUGAACUUAAGCAUAUCAAUAAGCGGAGGA
rnacentral:rRNA from 1 species